ensembl:rRNA 5S_rRNA 5S ribosomal RNA
GCUUACGGCCAUUACCAACCUGGCUAUGCCCGAUCUCGUCUGGAUCUCGGAAGCUAAGCAGGUUUGGGCCUGGUUAGUACUUGGAUGGGAGACCGCCUGGGAAUACCAGGUGCUGUAAGCU